CUCCCGUUGAUCCCGCGGGACCCGACUGCUAUCAGAGUGGGACUAAGCCAUGCGAGUCAACAUAGCAAUAUGUGGCAUACGGCUCAGUAACACGUAGUCAACAUGCCCAGGGGACGUGGAUAACCUCGGGAAACUGAGGAUAAACCGCGAUAGGUCAUCACUUCUGGAAUGGGUAAUGACUUAAAUCUAUAUGGCCCCUGGAUUGGACUGCGGCCGAUCAGGCUGUUGGUGAGGUAAUGGCCCACCAAACCUGUAACCGGUACGGGCUCUGAGAGGAGGAGCCCGGAGAUGGGCACUGAGACAAGGGCCCAGGCCCUAUGGGGCGCAGCAGGCGCGAAACCUCUGCAAUAGGCGAAAGCUUGACAGGGUUACUCUGAGUGAUUUCCGUUAAGGAGAUCUUUUGGCACCUCUAAAAAUGGUGCAGAAUAAGGGGUGGGCAAGUCUGGUGUCAGCCGCCGCGGUAAUACCAGCACCCCGAGUGGUCGGGACGUUUAUUGGGCCUAAAGCAUCCGUAGCCGGUUCUACAAGUCUUCCGUUAAAUCCACCUGCUUAACAGAUGGGCUGCGGAAGAUACUAUAGAGCUAGGAGGCGGGAGAGGCAAGCGGUACUCGAUGGGUAGGGGUAAAAUCCGUUGAUCCAUUGAAGACCACCAGUGGCGAAGGCGGCUUGCCAGAACGCGCUCGACGGUGAGGGAUGAAAGCUGGGGGAGCAAACCGGAUUAGAUACCCGGGUAGUCCCAGCUGUAAACGAUGCAGACUCGGUGAUGAGUUGGCUUAUUGCUAACUCAGUGCCGCAGGGAAGCCGUUAAGUUUGCCGCCUGGGGAGUACGGUCGCAAGACUGAAACUUAAAGGAAAUUGGCGGGGGGAGCA
rnacentral:rRNA from 1 species